GACGAACGCUGGCGGCGUGCCUAAUACAUGCAAGUCGAGCGGGACUCUUCGGAGUCCAGCGGCGGACGGGUGAGUAACACGUGGGCAACCUGCCUGUAAGACUGGGAUAACACCGGGAAACCGGUGCUAAUACCGGAUAAUCCUUUCCCUCACAUGAGGGGAAGCUGAAAGACGGUUUCGGCUGUCACUUACAGAUGGGCCCGCGGCGCAUUAGCUAGUUGGUGAGGUAACGGCUCACCAAGGCGACGAUGCGUAGCCGACCUGAGAGGGUGAUCGGCCACACUGGGACUGAGACACGGCCCAGACUCCUACGGGAGGCAGCAGUAGGGAAUCUUCCGCAAUGGACGAAAGUCUGACGGAGCAACGCCGCGUGAGCGAUGAAGGCCUUCGGGUCGUAAAGCUCUGUUGUCAGGGAAGAACAAGUAUCGGAGUAACUGCCGGUACCUUGACGGUACCUGAUCAGAAAGCCACGGCUAACUACGUGCCAGCCGCCGCUGUAA
rnacentral:rRNA from 1 species